rnacentral:rRNA from 1 species
CAAUAGCGUAUAUUAAAGUUGUUGCGGUUAAAAAGCUCGUAGUUGGAUUUCUGCCGAGGAAGAUCGGUCCGCCCUCUGGGUGUGUAUCUGUCUCAUCCUGGGCAUCCUCUUGGAGAACGUUGCUGCACUUGAUCGGGUGGCGCGGUACCCAAGACAUUUACUUUGAGGAAAUUAGAGUGUUUCAAGCAGGCUUUCGCCGUGAAUACGUUAGCAUGGAAUAAUAAUAUAGGACUUCGGUUCUAUUUUGUUGGUUUCUAGAGCUGAGGUAAUGAUUAAUAGGGAUAGUUGGGGGCAUUCGUAUUUAACUGUCAGAGGUGAAAUUCUUGGAUUUGUUAAAGGCGGACUACUGCGAAAGCAUUUGCCAAGGAUGUUUUCAUUGA